rnacentral:rRNA from 1 species
UACGGAGGGUGCGAGCGUUGUCCGGAAUCACUGGGCGUAAAGGGCGCGUAGGCGGCGCGGGUAGUCAUCGGUGAAAGUUCAGGGCUCAACUCUGAAUCGGCCGGUGAUACUCCCGUGCUCGAGCACUGUAGAGGCAGGUGGAAUUCCGGGUGUAGAGGUGAAAUUCGUAGAUAUUCGGAAGAACACCAGUGGCGAAGGCGACUGACUGGACAUGUAUUGACGCUGAGGUGCGAAAGCGUGGGGAGCAAACAGG